UUUCAUUCCCCCCCUAAGAGACAGACAUUUUAUCAUGCCCUCCCUGAAUUGAAAUAGCCUACUAUUGAGAACCUGCUAAUAUUUAUUUAUUUAGAUUAAUAAAAAUUAACGGAGAUAACAUCUGCAACAACUUAAAACUAUUUCCAACUUCAGUUUUGUAACAAAUUUGUAACAUUUAAACAAAACUGCUAAGUCUGUGUGAAUCUCAAAACAGAGAAACAAGAGCAAAUGAUUCACUGGGUUUUGCAUUUAAUUAUAAUAUUUCUAAAAAGUAAACAUUGGUCACUUGUCAGCUUCAUCAGCUUAUUCCCUUUCAAAAAAAAUAAUAUAUGUUCAUCUUUAAAGCAUGAAUAAAGACACCAAGUCCCUCUGUCAUGACUUAUUAAGAUCAAAAGUCUUGUAAAACUUCUGACCCUUGGUUUUAUGUUUAUUCAAAAUAAAAUAAGUAACCUAUUAAAAUAAAUAAAUGCAUAAGACACUAAGUCCCCUCUGCUGCUCACUGACACUUUUAAUCAGCUGAGUCUCAUAGUAUUAGAACAUAUUGUACUUGUUGAUUAGCUCACGUUGUAAUGGCAAUGAAUACGCCCUCAGCUGAUAAACUAAUGCCAGCAUUUUUUUUCAACAGAAAAUUAGCGCCCAUAUCAACAUAUAUUUGAUAUUUUUCUGCUCCUUGCGCCUAAUCAUGCUUAUCAUGCUACCCAGCAUCACAAGGCUCUGCCGACUAAAACAUGAAGCAAUUCAAGAAGAGGCGCUCGUGCUGCAUUUUUGGUUUUGUCAAACAGGAGACGCCCACCCACCAAUCCGAGGUUAGAGAUUCCUGAAGGAAGGUUGCGGUCGAUUUCACUAGCCCAUUUGAGCCUGUUCAUUAGUGUACAGCAUCCAUAAUCUCAUUGCUUGUAUAAAAAAAACGGUAGACUAUUAGAUUUGAGGACGAAACGAUAGAGUGGGCUAAGGCAAGUUUUUUUUCAAAAAGGUCUAGCUUCGCCACUGAUGGCAACGCUAUAGAAAUUGUUCCUAAAUAAAGAAUCUUAAAAAAUAA
ensembl:lncRNA